UUAGCAUAUCAAUAAGCGGAGGAAAAGAAACCAACCGGGAUUGCCCUAGUAACGGCGAGUGAAGCGGCAACAGCUCAAAUUUGAAAUCUGGCCCUCGUGGUCCGAGUUGUAAUUUGUAGAGGAUGCUUUUGGUGCGGUACCUUCCGAGUUCCCUGGAACGGGACGCCAUAGAGGGUGAGAGCCCCGUCUGGUUGGAUACCAACCCUCUGUAAAGCUCCUUUGACGAGUCGAGUAGUUUGGGAAUGCUGCUCAAAAUGGGAGGUAUAUGUUUUUUAAAGCUAAAUAUUGGCCAGAGACCGAUAGCGCACAAGUAGAGUGAUCGAAAGAUGAAAAGCACUUUGAAAAGAGGGUUAAAUAGUACGUGAAAUUGUUGAAAGGGAAGCGUUUGUGACCAGACUUGGGCCCGGUUAAUCAUCCGGCGUUCUUGCCGGUGCACUUUGCCGGCCCAGGCCAGCAUCAGUUUGCUGCGGGGGAAAAAGGCUUUGGGAAUGUGGCUCCUCUGGAGUGUUAUAGCCCGUUGUGCAAUACCCUGUGGUGGACUGAGGUUCGCGCAUCUGCAAGGAUGCUGGCGUAAUGGUCAUCAACGACCCGUCUUGAAACACGGACCAAGGAGUUGUCUUUGUAUGCGAGUGUUCGGGUGUCAAACCCCUACGCGUAAUGAAAGUGAACGGAGGUGGGAGCCUCGGCGCACCAUCGACCGAUCCUGAUGUUUUUGGAUGGAUUUGAGUAAGAGCAUACGGGGCCGGACCCGAAAGAAGGUGAACUAUGCCUGUAUAGGGUGAAGCCAGAGGAAACUCUGGUGGAGGCUCGCAGCGGUUUUGACGUGCAAAUCGAUCGUCAAAUAUGGGCAUGGGGGCGAAAGACUAAUCGAACCUUCUAGUAGCUGGUUUCCGCCGAAG
rnacentral:rRNA from 1 species